AGAGGGUGGCCUGGUAUCUG
rnacentral:miRNA from 1 species